rnacentral:lncRNA from 1 species
GGAUUGUGCACGAGUGAUUUCAGGAUUUGCUAGCUUUCAGCAUUCACGAGGUGAGUCUUCUCACUAUACUGUACCCGGAAGGGUUUGACUGUGUGACCGGAAGGUCAGAUAUGAUAUGUGAUAUGUAUGCUAUAUGUGGUAAGCUGUUUGUUAUAUGUGCUAUGUAUGUUAUGGGCCGGAAGGCGAUUAUAUUAUGGGCCGGAAGGCAAUAUGUUAUGGGCCGGAAGGCAAUAUGUUGUGUGAUGGACCGGAAGGUCGGCGUGGGUAGGACCGGAAGGUUUACCCAGCAGGGACGGAAGUCCCCUGAGACACAUGGACCGGAAGGUCAGGGCCUGGAAAGGCGUAUGUGCGUAAGUUGUAUAUUGGGGAACUCACUAAGCAUUUAUGCUUACAGUUGUUAUGUAUGUGUUUCAGGUACUAGCGAGGACCGUGGGAAGGCGCCGGCGUGAUCGAUACACACUGAAGAAUGCUUUUAUGAUCUUGGGAUUUUGAUUAUUUGUAUUUGACAGAAUACUUAAACUAUUUAUGCCUUGUUUUGAAUGGAAAUAAAUAUAUUUUUAAAAUGAAAAAUUUGUUUGAAAAUUUGCGUUGUUACAAUUGGUAUCAGAGCCUUGGUUUGAGGGAUUCGGGUGCACCUUCGGGAGUAACUGAACUCAAACCGAGGAUUUGAGGAAAACUUUUUAAAUAAAGGCAUAAACUUUUGUAAAUGGUUUUGUGGUAAGCAAGAAAGAAGCAGUGUGUACGAUCAGUCAGCGCCCGAACGGUAAAGAUCCCCAAAAUACCUUACAAUAUUAUAUGAUAUGAAUUGUUAUGCAUGCUAGAAGACUAGGUAUUCAUGAUAGGACUAGAGUGGCCUGAUUUGUGAUGCCUUAGUCUAGGGAAGUUUGCCUAUAUGAGAUGCGUUGCUAGUAUGCGGGUAGAUAGUGCAUAUCAGAAGUAGAGUACUCACUAUCCGGAGUUUGGGGAGGAGGACUUGGGAUGAACGCUGAUGCGGUGUGGUCGGUAGUAUUGGGCCCGUACUACCGAGGACACCGGGUCAGUGGGAGACCCAAGUAAGAAUCCCUGGAUAUCGGGGACUGAGUAGGGUUGCGUUAUCGAGUGCGAUUAUACUCGAUGGAGUCUCUGAUAGUUUUAUGUUGUAUUUCAGAGACAUCAUGGUUAGACCACGCCACGGAGCGAGUUCGAGCGGUGUGAGUGACGAGGAGAUUCGUCAGAUGAUUCACGAGGAGGUAGCGGCGGCGAUCCGGGCUGAGAUCCCGGAGAUGUUUGGGUCUAUUAAGACCACCCUGAUGGAGACGUUUGAUGAGCGGUACGCCGCAUUGACUGAGGCUGCAACCGCUGCAGCUACCGCAGCUGUGGCCGCUGCUAGGCCACAGGGGGGUGACUCGUUGCUGUUCCGAGAGUUCAGCAACACGAAGCCACCAGAGUUCGAUGGGACGCAGGAUCCGAUUGCUGCGAUGAGGUGGAUCGCAGAUAUAGAGGGGUGCUUCUACACUUGUUCAUGCCCGGAGCACCUGAGGGUACGGUUCGCUUUGAACCAGCUCCGUCUGGGAGCGAAGGACUGGUGGAAGUUCGUGACGGCGAACUUCACUUUGGCAGAGACUACAGCAGUGACAUGGGAGGGGUUUACUGCCAUGUUCAGGGAUGAGUACGUUCCCCCGGUGGAGAGGGAACGAUUGGUUCAGGAGUUCUUAACCCUCAAGCAGGGUACUGAUUCUGUUGCGGUGAUCACGCGGAAGUUUCAUGAGAGGGCGAUGUUCUGCCCCGAGCUGGUGUCCACUGAUCAGGCUCGGAUGAGCCGGUACUUGGGAGUGUUGAGGAGGGAUAUCCGGGAGUUUGUGUCAAACUCCACUUACCAUACUUUUGCUGAGCUUCAGGCGAAUGCCAGGAAGCGCGAGAUCGAGUUGGAGACCCAGGCCAGGGAGGAGGCCGAGUCUCAGCGGGUGGACCGGCGACCGGCUCAGUUCCAGCCGGCAGCCAAGCGGACCAAGUCCGCUGAUUCGAGGACAGGAGGUUCGAAGGGUCGCACUUGCGGGAAGUGCGGCAAGAGUCAUGAUGGAGUAUGUCGAUCUGGUGCUUGCUACAAGUGUGGCAAGGAGGGGCACAUUGCUAGGGAGUGCCCCAAGGGAUUUACGGUUUGCUUUCAUUGCAACCAGACAGGCCAUAGGAAGGCCGAGUGCCCUCAGCUUCUUCAGGGAUCUGCACCUGCUGCCGGAGCUACUGCGACUCGACCGGUGAAGGCCGAGGCCCCGAGGGCUCGGGGAAGAGCCUUUCAGCUGACUGCGGAGGAGGUCCGCGCUGCGCCCGAUGUUGUGGCAGGUAUGUUGUAAUUCAUGUAUUUAUUUUAAUGUCGAGAUGUUAUGCUUAUGUUAUUAUAUGCGUAGGUACUUUCCUUGUGAACUCUGUGCCUGCCUUAGUGUUAUUUGACUCGGGUGCGAGUAGGUCCUUUGUGUCCUUAGCCUUUAGUCAGCAUAUCAGCGUUAGUCGUGAGUCGUUGAGUCGACCUUUGAGAGUUUCUAUAGCUGACGAGAAAGUGAUUUGUGCCACGGAGGUUCUUCGGGGAUGUGUACUAGAGAUUUUCGGGGUUGAAUUCCCGAUUGACCUGAUUCCUAUUGCGAUGGGUGAUGUCUGUGUCAUCGUGGGCAUGGACUGGUUGAGCCGAUUCGGCGCUGUCAUCGACUGUGAGCGUCAGUUGGUGACUAUACGAGACCCUAGUGGGGGAGUUCUUUCGGUGUACGGCGAGGGUACCCGUUCGGGAUCAGCUUUUUGUUCGGCCGCUAGGGCGAGGCAGUGUCUACAGCAGGGCUGUAAGGGUUUUGUGGCGUAUGUGAUGGAUACGCGGGAGGUUUCCGAGAGACCGAAGUCAGUUGAGGAGGUCCCUGUGGUGCGUGAGUUUCCAGAUGUUUUCCCCGAGGAGCUGCCGGGAGUACCUCCUGUGAGGCAAGUAGAGUUUGGUAUCGAUCUGGUUCCGGGGGCCGCGCCUAUUGCUAAAGUGCCUUAUCGUCUUGCACCUCCAGAGAUGCAAGAGUUGUCCUCGCAGCUCCAGGAGUUGCUGGGGAAGGGAUUCAUUCGGCCGAGCAGCUCGCCGUGGGGAGCACCUAUUCUGUUCGUCAAGAAGAAGGAUGGUUCACACCGGAUGUGCAUUGAUUACCGGGAGUUGAACAAGUUGACGGUCAAGAACCGUUACCCGUUACCGAGGAUCGAUGAUUUAUUCGAUCAGUUGCAGGGAGCGUCUUGGUUUUCCAAGAUCGAUCUGAGGUCAGGGUACCAUCAGGUGAGAGUGCGGGAUGAGGAUGUCCAGAAGACAGCGUUUAGGACGCGAUAUGGGCAUUAUGAGUUUGUGGUGAUGCCUUUCGGGCUCACCAAUGCCCCGGCUGUGUUCAUGGAUCUCAUGAACAGGGUAUGCAGACCGAUGUUGGAUCGGUCAGUGAUUGUAUUUAUCGACGACAUUCUGGUGUAUUCGAGAUCUAGAGAGCAGCAUGAGGAGCAUUUGAGGGAGGUCCUUGAGGUAUUGAGGUCGGAGAAGCUUUAUGCAAAGUUCUCCAAAUGUGACUUCUGGUUGCGGGAGGUCCAAUUUCUAGGACAUGUUGUUAAUCAGAAAGGGAUAUUGGUCGAUCCGGCCAAGGUUGAGGCGGUGAUGAGUUGGGAGGUGCCGAAGUCACCCUCUGAGAUCAGGAGCUUCCUUGGGUUGGCAGGGUAUUAUCGGAGAUUCAUCAAGGAUUUCUCCAAGAUCGCAGUGCCACUCACCAGAUUGACCCGGAAGGGUGUUGCAUUCUCAUGGGGGCCCGAGCAGCAGACCUCCUUUGAGACACUUCGCCAGAGGUUGUGCGAAGCCCCGGUAUUAGCUCUCCCAGAAGGGAUGGAAGAUUUUGUGGUAUAUUGCGACGCAUCGAUUUCGGGACUGGGUGCAGUGUUGAUGCAGAGGGGUCAUGUGAUAGCUUAUGCGUCGAGGCAGCUGAAGCCUCAUGAGGCGAGAUAUCCCACGCAUGAUUUAGAGUUGGGGGCAGUAGUGUUCGCUCUCAAGAUUUGGCGUCACUACCUGUAUGGGGUUCGAUGUACGAUAUAUACGGACCAUAAGAGCUUGAAGUAUUUGAUGGAUCAGCCCAACCUAAAUAUGCGUCAGAGGAGGUGGUUGGAUGUGGUCAAGGAUUAUGAUUGUGAGAUCCUGUACCACCCAGGCAAGGCUAAUGUGGUAGCCGACGCGUUGAGCCGCAGGGCGGAGAGCACUCCAUUGCGAGAUGUAUGCUUGAGACUGACUGUGAUGACUCCAGUAUUGGAUGCUAUUCGUGGGGCACAGGCCGAAGCUGUGCGACCAGAAAUGCAGAAGAAAGAGCGGGUUGUGGGGUUAAUUUCAGAGUUCGUUAAGGAUGGACGAGGGCUUAUGACGUUUCAGGGUCGGAUUUGGGUACCGUUCGUGGGCGGUACGCGUAUUACUUUGAUGGAAGAGGCUCAUAGAUCGAAAUUCUCGAUCCAUCCCGGUGCUACGAAGAUGUAUUUGGAUUUGAGGAAAGAGUAUUGGUGGCCCUGUAUGAAGAGGGACGUCGCAUGGUUCGUUGAGAGGUGCUUGACCUGUCGUAGGGUUAAGGCCGAGCACCAGAGACCGCAUGGCAAGUUACAGCCAUUGGAGAUCCCCGAGUGGAAGUGGGAACAGAUCACUAUGGAUUUCAUCACCAAAUUGCCGAGGACUGCCAGGGGAGUUGAUGCAAUUUGGGUGAUUGUGGAUAGGUUGACGAAGAGUGCACACUUCCUUGCCAUCAGCGAGAGUUCUUCAGCGGAGAAGUUGGCGGAGAUAUAUGUGAGAGAAGUGGUAUCUCGGCAUGGAGUGCCGAUCUCGAUUGUUUCAGACCGUGAUGUGCGCUUCACUUCCAGGUUCUGGAAGAAAUUCCAUGAGGAGCUGGGUACUAAAUUGCAUUUUAGUACCGCAUACCAUCCCCAGACAGACGGUCAGAGCGAGCGGACGAUUCAGACGCUGGAGGACAUGCUUCGAGCGUGUGUGUUAGACUUCGGGGGUAGCUGGGAUGCAUAUUUACCCUUAGCAGAGUUUUCCUACAACAACAGCCAUCAUUCGAGCAUUGGUAUGCCACCUUUUGAGCUGUUGUAUGGUAGGAGGUGUCGGACCCCCAUUUGCUGGGGAGAGGUGGGACAGAGAGUGAUGGGCAGCACAGAGAUCGUGCUUCAGACGACAGAGCAGAUUCAGCAAGUUAGACAGAGGUUAUUGACCGCCCAGAGCCGACAGAAGAGUUAUGCAGACAGGCGCCGAUCCGAGCUUGAGUUUCAAGUCGGCGACUUCGUUCUCCUGAAGGUCUCUCCUUGGAAAGGAGUGAUUCGAUUCAGGAAGAGGGGCAAGUUGGGGCCCCGGUAUAUUGGGCCAUUUCGUGUGAUUGCAAGGAUAGGCCGGGUAGCCUAUCGGUUGGAGUUGCCAGCGGAGUUGGGACAGAUCCACGACACUUUUCAUGUGUCGCAAUUGAGGAAGUGCAUAGCCGAUGAGUCGGCAGUGGUUCCAUUGGAGGAUAUUCAGGUGGAUGCGAGCCUGAAUUAUGCUGAGAGACCAGUGGCCAUCAGGGAUCGAAAGAUCAAGGUUCUGAGGAACAAGGAGGUACCUCUGGUGUUGGUUCAGUGGCAACACCGGAAGGGAUCGGAAAUGACUUGGGAGCCGGAACGUGAGAUGCGGGAGCAGCAUCCGGAACUAUUUUCAGAGUGAGACUUCGAGGGCGAAGUCUAAUCCUAGUGGGGGAGAGUUGUAACAGCCCGGAAUCUCAGGUAUUGUUAAAUUAUGUUUUUGGGGUGAUUUAAGAGGGGACUCGGCGAGUUGGAGCCUAGACUCGCCGAGUAGGAUCGCAGACUUGGUCGCGGGUUCGCGACUGGACUCGACGAGUCCAGAUAUGGACUCGGCGAGUCUACGCUGUUUAGCGAAAACCCUAACCGUUCAGGUUUGGGACGUAUAAAAAGGACUCAUUGGCCGUCAUUGUUCAUUUUAGCCUUCUGAGAAGAACCCUAAAUCGAUUGUGUGCAUCUGGAGCAAGGAUUAUAGGCCAUUGUUGAUUAUAGAAGAGUGGUUGUGCAAGGAAGAGAAGGGAUUGGCUAAAGGAGCAGCAAGGGAGUCACAUUCUGAGGAUUGGGGACACAGAGGAUACAUCAUCCAGGUAAGAAUUCGAGUAUACUCUGCUAUGUUGAUGUGAUUAUGGAAUUAGGGUUUAUGGAACCCUUUUGUGAAUAGAUUGAAUGUUACCCUAGUCCCCUAAUCGAUUGUAACCCUGUAUUGGGACCUUUGGAGGUCCAGAAUGUCCCAUGUCUGUGCAUUUCGGGAAUUGAUGAAGGUUUUGGAUUGGAAUCCUUAUGCCUUAGGUCAAAAUGUAAAUUAUGAAUCAUAUGGUGUAUCAUGAGCACUGAAAUGAGGACUUUACGUGAUGGAUCAGCCUAGGAAGGCCAGACCUAGGAAUGGUCGAAGCAGUUCUGACCUUAGGAUGCAGUUUGAGCGGUUGCAUGGCAUGGACUCGCCGAGUUCGAUGAACAGACUCGGCGAGUAGCUUGAAGAUUAACUGGGACUCGUCGAGUUGUUCUUCAGACUCGGCGAGUUGAGUCGGGGUGGCCCCGCGAUUCUUCCAGGAGUAACUCGUCGGGUCAAGGAGGAUACUCGACGAGUAGAUAGGGAAUCUCAGAGAGUUGGAGGACGUCUAGACUCGCCGAGUCGCCAUGGCACUCGCCGAGUCCGGUCGAGUUGACCGUUGACCGUUGACCAGAGUUGACCUAAGUCUGACUUCUUAGGGAUAGUCACACUUAGAAGAUAUAAGUGUUAAUGAGAGAUAUGUGAUGUUAUAGGGAGGUUGUAGCUCGUCGGAUUGUGCACGAGUGAUUUCAGGAUUUGCUAGCUUUCAGCAUUCACGAGGUGAGUCUUCUCACUAUACUGUACCCGGAAGGGUUUGACUGUGUGACCGGAAGGUCAGAUAUGAUAUGUGAUAUGUAUGCUAUAUGUGGUAAGCUGUUUGUUAUAUGUGCUAUGUAUGUUAUGGGCCGGAAGGCGAUUAUAUUAUGGGCCGGAAGGCAAUAUGUUAUGGGCCGGAAGGCAAUAUGUUGUGUGAUGGACCGGAAGGUCGGCGUGGGUAGGACCGGAAGGUUUACCCAGCAGGGACGGAAGUCCCCUGAGACACAUGGACCGAUAGGUCAGGGCCUGGAAAGGCGUAUGUGCGUAAGUUGUAUAUUGGGGAACUCACUAAGCAUUUAUGCUUACAGUUGUUAUGUAUGUGUUUCAGGUACUAGCGAGGACCGUGGGAAGGCGCCGGCAUGAUCGAUACACACUGAAGGAUGUUUUUAUGAUCUUGGGAUUUAGAC